UACGAAGGGGGCUAGCGUUGCUCGGAAUUACUGGGCGUAAAGCGCACGUAGGCGGCUUUCUAAGUCGGGGGUGAAAUCCUGGAGCUCAACUCCAGAACUGCCUUCGAUACUGGCGAUCUUGAGUCCGGAAGAGGUGAGUGGAACUCCUAGUGUAGAGGUGGAAUUCGUAGAUAUUAGGAAGAACACCAGUGGCGAAGGCGGCUCACUGGUC
rnacentral:rRNA from 1 species